rnacentral:tRNA from 1 species
GCGGGUAUAGUUUAGUGGUAAAACGCGAGCUUCCCAAGCUUGAGUCGAGGGUUCAAUUCCCUCUACCCGCACCA